CUGUGCCUCCUGCCGCCAAGGCCCGCCUGGUUGCUGGAGACGGAAAUGAGAUGGCAUACACAGAGCUCCUGGUACAGGCAGUGGUCAGUUCCAUUCAUGUUGAAAGGUGUACCCCAGCCUCUCUCUUCCACUUUCCUCAGCACCAAGCCAACGCAGGCAAAUUCAUAGGUUUUCCUUAAGACAAUACCACUUUAGCCAGACAUGGUAACUUCCCAAGUUUCCAAGCACAGUUAGAGAUCUUCCUACCCUUGCGCUCCUAAGACAUGCCUGCUUGUGGCCAAAAGAGAAUGAGAGCAGAUUUCUGCUUACCUAUGCGGCAAUCUGUUCUGUUGGCCACCCAUUCAUAAACGAUAGUACAUGUGUCAUAAUCAUCUUUGCAUUUGAGAGAGUACCAAACAUAGUGCUUUACCCACUGAUACAAACGGUACUUAGUAAAGCAUGCGUUGAAUUUUUGUCUAUCUUAUAAUGUAAGAUCCUGACAAUUAAGACUCAGGAUUAAGCUAAUUGUGCCAAGUACAUGAUAAAUGGUCAAUAAAGGAUUUUGGUAAUUAGUAUAA